UUUUAGGUAGGGGGAAAUUAACGUCGGCGAAAGUCGGGCUAAUACCGCAUGUGAUCCUUCGGGAUUAAAGCCUUCGGGCGCUAAAGGAGGGGCCUGCGUCUGAUUAGCUUGUUGGUAAGGUAAUGGCUUACCAAGGCGAUGAUCAGUAGCUGGUUCGAGAGGAUGAUCAGCCACACUGGAACUGAGAUACGGUCCAGACUCCUACGGGAGGCAGCAGUAAGGAACCUUCCGCAAUGGACGAAAGUCUGACGGAGCAACGCCGCGUGCAGGAUGAAGGCUUUCGGGUCGUAAACUGCUUUUGUAUGGGAAGAUUAUGACGGUACCAUACGAAUAAGGACCGGCUAACUACGUG
rnacentral:rRNA from 1 species